rnacentral:lncRNA from 1 species
AUGAAGUCCUGGAACUACAGGCUUUUCUGCUUCAGUGCACUUGGGAGUGGUGAAUGGAAAACACUUGAAAUAAAUCUGCUGCAAGCAGCGAGGGCCUUUGUGGUACAUGGAAUGAAAAGAAGUGCUGUGUCUGAACUGCUGUGCACAGGAGAAAAUAAGGAAAUAUUCCAGCACUGGUUCGCCAGGAGGCCAGAUGCUCUUCAGCAUAAGAAUAAAGCCCUCCUAGGUUCCAGAAGGACCAGAAUGGCUACAUCUGGGAGCAGAGGCAGAAUGGCUGUUGUAAGGAAAGAAACUCCUGCUAAGAUGGAAGGAGAAACUAAAGUCUCUCUUCUACCCUGCAAGCCCGUGUCUCAGCUGUGGAGAAACUAGUUCAGUGGCUGAAAGAAAGAGUAAGUCUCCUUUUUCACCUGUACAAACCAGUAUCUCAGCUAUUAGAAGUAAGCAUUCUUCUGCUUGAGAGACAGGAUGUAGUGAGUAUGCACCAAGUGUCAUCUUGUGGUUUUACCUGUGACCACAGAGGAUGUGAAGAGCUGGGAUGGAAAAUCCAC